UAUUCUCAUUUAAAUCACUGAUAAGCUGUGGUAUCGUUGUAUCCGAAUUCGAAUCGGAUAUAAAUACUCGUGACAAGCAUGGUUCGGUGGCAGCGAAUGCUAUGCUAUCGUCCAUAAACGUUGAAUAUACUAUUCAGAAAUCAGCAACGUUUAAGACGGUUUGUAGGUAGAGGGUAAAGUUUGCAGCGAAGGCUUUGCCGAUUAUUUUACUGUGAGGUUAACAUUACCAAAGUACAUUGUUAAGUUGGAUGUUAAGGUGUCAGCUGGCAUGGUAAGAGGCAUGAAAUCGCGGCCACUCUGCUUCGUUGUGGUGACACACGCAUCGGAUUAAACUGCAUGUAAACGUACUAGUACGUCUAAACUAACUAGUAUGUUUACAUGCAUGGCAUAUCAGAGAAUUCUGUCAGUUCGGUCGCGGCGCAACGAAUGAAUAAAGAUCGUUAGCACUCUGAAAAACAGAUGACAGAUGUGCCCUCAGUUACUACUUUAUUACCUCGUUGAUUUCCAACGUUUAGGAAAACAUGUACUUUUAAUUCACCCUUGGGUGAAAUCGAAGCGUAGUGUGUACUGAAUGCGUGUUGAUGAUGAUGCAUAUGAAUUGCAACUUACACGUCUUCCAAACCUUUUCAGUACCCUGGCACAUGCUUUGUCCAAUGGACCAUGGAAGGGACUUUACUUGGCUGACGAGGACGCACCUCACCAGUAUCAGAGCAACAGCUGUGGGGUGUUUAUGCUGAUGCCCUGCAGAACUAGCUGGCUCCUUCUCACCCUCUCCAUCUCCCCAUCUCAGUCACACCUUCCAAUCACUAAGCAGUGAAAGCCCUGCAGGACUAGCUGGCACACCAAGCUCACCCUCUCCAUCUCCC